rnacentral:lncRNA from 1 species
GAUCCCUUUAGGAGUUAUUGCCCUUUAUAGUCAAUUUUUAACCAUUUUUCGUAAAUCUUAGUUAUCUUUUACAAAAAUCUUCUCCUCUGAAACUAGGCCAAAUUAAACCAAACUUGGCCACAAUCAUCAUUGGGGUAUCUAGUUUAAAAAUUGUGUCCGAUGACCCGGCCAACCAACCAAGAUGGCCGCCAUGGCUAAAAAUAGAACAUAGGGGUGAAAUGUAGAUUUUGGCUUAUAACUCUGAAACCGCA